CUUCUUUGUCUCUCUAAGUGCAUUAAAACCAAACACUAUUUCUCGUUCUAAAUUUGGACUUGUGGUUUUGUAAUGGGUAAAUCUACUAGCUUUUAUUGUGAUAAUAAUCUUUAGCUUCAAAAAUAAAGAUUUCUUUGGUGUUUCAAGUGUACAACCUUUUUAUUGCUUCAAAACCGAAUUUGGCACUUCAAGUAAGAUCUGAAAUUGGGUUGGCUGCCACACAUCACUUAGAGUGCAUCACAUUGUCCAUCAGGUCUGGUGUGGUGAUGCGACAAAUUCUCUAGGAUGCGGUGUAUCAUUGCAUAUCGGGCUUUCGGAUGCGGCACAUCAUGGAUGAGUGCGGUGCAUCCCUAGUCUGGUCUUCAGUAAGUGCGACGCAUUGGGGUAGUGUGACGCAAUAAGCAAUGCCGAGCAUUUGAAUGCGAGGCAUCCAAGGGGAUGCGACGCAUCCAUGUGUUGUUACACUUCACCUCAAUUCAAACUUCAUUGUUUCAUUUCCGUAUCGAUUGUAAUCAUUGUUACCAACCUAAAUCAAUCUAGUUAACAUACUUUUAAGUCAAAA